UACGAAGGGUGCAAGCGUUACUCGGAAUUAUUGGGCGUAAAGCGCGCGCAGGUGGUCUCUUAAGUCUGAUGUGAAAGCCCACGGCUCAACCGUGGAGGGUCAUUGGAAACUGGGGAACUUGAGUGCAGGAGAGAAGAGUGGAAUUCCACGUGUAGCGGUGAAAUGCGUAGAUAUCUGGAGGAACACCGGUGGCGAAGGCGGCAUCCUGGACCAAUAUUGACGCUGAGGAGCGAAAGCCAGGGGAGCAAACGGG
rnacentral:rRNA from 1 species